CGCGGAAGGGGCUGCGGGCCUACCACGUGCGGUCGAGCGGUAACAGAUCUAGCUUGCUGGAUGCUAAGGAGCGGCGGACGGGUGAGUAGUGCAUAGGAAUCUACCCAGUAGUGGGGGAUAACCUGGGGAAACCCAGGCUAAUACCGCAUACGUCCUACGGGAGAAAGGGGGCUUUGGCUCCCGCUAUCGGAUGAGCCUAUGCCGGAUUAGCUGGUUGGUGAGGUAACGGCUCACCAAGGCGACGAUCCGUAGCUGGUCUGAGAGGAUGAUCAGCCACAUCGGGACUGAGACACGGCCCGAACUCCUACGGGAGGCAGCAGUGGGGAAUAUUGGACAAUGGGGGCAACCCUGAUCCAGCCAUGCCGCGUGUGUGAAGAAGGCCCUCGGGUUGUAAAGCACUUUCAGCGAGGAAGAACGCCUAUCGGUUAAUACCCGUUAGGAAAGACAUCACUCGCAGAAGAAGCACCGGCUAACUCCGUGCCAGCAGCCGCGGUAAUACGGAGGGUGCAAGCGUUAAUCGGAAUUACUGGGCGUAAAGCGCGCGUAGGUGGCUUGAUAAGCCGGUUGUGAAAGCCCCGGGCUCAACCUGGGAACGGCAUCCGGAACUAUCAGGCUAGAGUGCAGGAGAGGAAGGUAGAAUUCCCGGUGUAGCGGUGAAAUGCGUAGAGAUCGGGAGGAAUACCAGUGGCGAAGGCGGCCUUCUGGACUGACACUGACACUGAGGUGCGAAAGCGUGGGUAGCAAACAGGAUUAGAUACCCUGGUAGUCCACGCCGUAAACGAUGUCGACCAGCCGUUGGGUGCCUAGCGCACUUUGUGGCGAAGUUAACGCGAUAAGUCGACCGCCUGGGGAGUACGCCGCAAGGUUAAAACUCAAAUGAAUUGACGGGGGCCCGCACAAGCGGUGGAGCAUGUGGUUUAAUUCGAUGCAACGCGAAGAACCUUACCUACCCUUGACAUCCUGCGAACUUGUGAGAGAUCAUGUGGUGCCUUCGGGACUGCAAAGACAGUGCUGCAUGGCUGUCGUCAGCUCGUGUUGUGAAAUGUUGGUAAGUCCCGUAACGAGCGCAACCCUUGUCUUAUUGCCACGAGUAUUGUUCGGGAACUUCUAGGAGACUGCGGGAACAAACUGAGGAGGUGGGGACGACGUUCAGUCAUCAUGCCUUUACGGUAGGGCUACCACGUGCUACAUGGCCGGUUACAAGGCUUCGAACCUCGGAAGCUCACGAUCCAUAGUCGUCUAAUUCGGGAAUACGGAGUCUGCGUCAACUCUGACAUC
rnacentral:rRNA from 1 species